GAGGGUAUAACCUAAGUGGCAGAGUGCAUGCUUAGCAUGCAUGAGGUCCUGGGUUCAAUCCCCAGUGCCUCCU
rnacentral:tRNA from 1 species